UGGGGAAUAUUGCACAAUGGGGGAAACCCUGAUGCAGCGACGCCGCGUGAGCGAAGAAGGUUUUCGAAUCGUAAAGCUCUGUCCUAUGGGAAGAUAAUGACGGUACCAUAGGAGGAAGCCCCGGCUAACUACGUGCCAGCAGCCGCGGUAAUACGUAGGGGGCAAGCGUUGUCCGGAAUCACUGGGCGUAAAGGGUUCGCAGGCGGAAAUGCAAGUCAGUUGUGAAAGGCAGAGGCUCAACCUCUGUAAGCAAUUGAAACUGUAUUUCUUGAGAUGUGGAGAGGCGAGUGGAAUUCCUAGUGUAGCGGUGAAAUGCGUAGAUAUUAGGAAGAAUACCGGUGGCGAAGGCGACUUGCUGGGCACAGACUGACGCUGAGGAACGAAAGCGUGGGUAGCAAACAGG
rnacentral:rRNA from 1 species